UGUCUUGAAAAUAAAUAAACAUUAAAAAAAAUUAAAAGUAAACAAAAAGCAUGACUGAAUAAUCCACUAAUGGUAAACACCAGUCCCAAUGAAAAAAUAGAGAAAGUAAACCCGGUGUGUUGAAGGACCCGCAUCUGUGGAGCUCUGUUGCAGUCUGUAUGGUAAGCAAAGUGUUUCUCCCCGUUUUGUGUCUUUCGGAUUUUAAGAUAAAUGGGUAUGAGUCAGCAUUUCUGUUUUUAGAGUAAAGUAGCAUUUGUGUGAGCCCCAACCUCUUAAUCAAGAAACGCUGGAAGUCUUUCUAACAGGUCCCCCCUCAUUUUUUAUUUUGCUGUCUGUUGCUGUGGAUUACCACACCUCAUUCUGGAGAGAGCAAAAAAAGGUAGGUUUUUCAAAAGUCAGGAAAUCUCACAAAUAGUCCAGAAAAGAUCUUAAUUCUAUCCCAUUUCAAUUGCCUCCAUAUAACAGAAAUGACCAGACUCUGUUCCGGGGUCUUUCCACAAAGCUGGUCAGUGGGAUUCAGUCUUGAGAGCCAAGUCCAUUAACACACGCUCCCGAGCCAUUUGUCUGUCACUGACCUUGGGUGGACGCUCCUGUGUGGCUUACCUCGAAGACGUCUUCUUUCUAAAAUUCUAUCCUCUUCUUUAAAGACGUGAUCGGAUGGCGGUUAUGAAGGCAAGGACACAUGGAAGAAUGCCACUUUCCUCGACAGAUGAGACAGGUCCAAGAAGACAAUUUUUUCUUUAAGUGGGGUCGCUUUUUUUCCGAACAAGGCUUGCAUCCAUAGUAAUUUUAUGCUACAAUGUGAAUAAUGGAUCUGGAAAACCUUUCUUUCCAGGACAGACGUAUAUAUACGAGGCAUUUUUCCCCCCCUGCUAUUCAAUAAUGAUUAUUUUGAUUACACAGAGAAGUUCUUAGGUAAGUGGAAUAAUAUAAAAUCAAUGUGAAAAAAAGGUAAAAAUGUGUUUUUUGGGGGUAUUAGACGACGGUGAGACAGGUAAUUUGUGUGUGUGUGUGUGUGUGUGUGUGUGUGUGUGUGUGUUGAAUAACGCAGAGUAAAGUUAUCCUAAUUCCAUUCAUCAAUUAAUUUAAUUUUGAUUCCACGUUAACCUCCUUUACUCAGUUCCUCUCCCCACCCCCACCCCCCCAAAUCCCUGUAAGGAAGCCCUGUGAAUGCCCCAGACAUGAGGCUAUGAGAGCUUGGCUGAGCUCCUGUGUCUGGGGAUUACUUUCCAGAUUUAUUUGCGGGGUGUCUGUGCCGGGCAAGUCUUAGCUUUCGCAAAAGACUAAUUACUCCUUGUACCUUUUAACAUUAAAAUGCAUCUGAGACCUUGCCUCCAUUGAACACAACUCUGAGGCAUACCUUAUUCAGCAGAAGCAACAGGGCCCCUGUCGCCAAGGCUUAGCAGAUAAGAAGAUUAGGACAACGGAUUUUAACUUUCAUUUCUUUGAUGUGAAAGGGCUUCUAAGGGCCAUGCUGAUGACUCACAUGGGCCGACACAGAGGAUGGGAGAGAGGACAGGACGGGAGCUGUCUGGUGUACAGAAGGCCUCCAAGUUACGUUAAUCACUGAAGAGCUCUGAGCUGUUGUAGAGCCUUCUGGAGGCAAAAGGAACCGUUCACGGCCAUGGUCCUGGGGGACCUGAAGGCCAGGUUCGGGGAGAUGCUUUUCUGGAGAAGCAACACUGUGUUCACCUGUUCUCACCCACCUCCUCCCCUGCAAGGAUCCAGCGCAACCCCGGGGCAAGGGCUAAGACAACAGAGGUUGCAGAUUGGGAGUGUGGAGAAUUCGCUCUUUGUGCAUGCGUGCUAUUGGCCAGUGUCCCCAGCUCCUGUCCGGCUGUGCCCUCACUCCCCGACGCCACCAGGUGCACCGUCAGUGAGGCCCCACGCACAAGGGACAUGUGGGUCUCUGUUCAGAAAGCAGAACUUGCUGUGAAAGGUGAUAGUAAAAUGCAAAGCUCUUC